rnacentral:lncRNA from 1 species
ACCAGGUGCAAAAAGAAAUAUGAUGAUAUGAGGGUGCUUUGGGUUUUAUUGCCAAAGACAGCUGUGAUGAACAUUCCAGACUCUGGGGCAAAAGUUAGACAGAGCUGCCAGAGGAACAAUGAAAGGGAUUCUAAUACUUCAGUCUGUAUAUAAAACUGAGCCAAGGAGAAUUGAGGAACAGCAGACAAUAUUACCGUAAUUCAUCUGAUAUGUUUAU